AGUGAACGCUGGCGGUAGGCCUAACACAUGCAAGUCGAACGGCAGCACAGUAAGAGCUUGCUCUUACGGGUGGCGAGUGGCGGACGGGUGAGGAAUACAUCGGAAUCUACUUUUUCGUGGGGGAUAACGUAGGGAAACUUACGCUAAUACCGCAUACGGCCUACGGGUGAAAGCAGGGGAUCUUCGGACCUUGCGCGAUUGAAUGAGCCGAUGUCGGAUUAGCUAGUUGGCGGGGUAAAGGCCCACCAAGGCGACGAUCCGUAGCUGGUCUGAGAGGAUGAUCAGCCACACUGGAACUGAGACACGGUCCAGACUCCUACGGGAGGCAGCAGUGGGGAAUAUUGGACAAUGGGCGCAAGCCUGAUCCAGCCAUACCGCGUGGGUGAAGAAGGCCUUCGGGUUGUAAAGCCCUUUUGUUGGGAAAGAAAAGCAGCAGGCUAAUACCCCGCUGUUCUGACGGUACCCAAAGAAUAAGCACCGGCUAACUUCGUG
rnacentral:rRNA from 1 species